rnacentral:lncRNA from 1 species
AUUAGCCCUCUGUGAUCUUGCUGUGUUUUCAUUUAUUUCAAAACAGUUUAACACAGAGCAUGUUGAGCAAUCAGUUGAAAAUCACGUGCAAACACUGCCUAAGUACCGAUAAGAAUCGUGGAGGUAAACAAUGAAUUCCUACUAAUGGCUAAGUCACCAAGAAAAUGAACUUCUCGCUUGCCUGACCUUAUCUCACCUGCUUCCCAUUUUAUCCUCCUAUGGAUGCAACUUUCCCUGCAGGAGAAAGUAUAAGAGCAGAACAAACUAUGCUGGGAACACAGGCCUUUGCAUUCUGGUGAGUUUCUUCUUUAGAAUCUGCAAACAACUCCCUCUGAUGGAGGUGCUUGAAUUUCUUCAAAGGGUUCAUAGUUCCA